rnacentral:rRNA from 1 species
CCUACGGGCUGCAGCAGUGGGGAAUAUUGCACAAUAGGCGAAAGCCUGAUGCAGCGACGCCGCGUGAGGGAUGACGGCCUUCGGGUUGUAAACCUCUUUCAGUAGGGACGAAGCGCAAGUGACGGUACCUACAGAAGAAGCACCGGCCAACUACGUGCCAGCAGCCGCGGUAAUACGUAGGGUGCGAGCGUUGUCCGGAUUUACUGGGCGUAAAGAGCUCGUAGGCGGUUUGUCACGUCGUCUGUGAAAACCCGAGGCUUAACCUCGGGCCUGCAGGCGAUACGGGCAGACUUGAGUACUGUAGGGGAGACUGGAAUUCCUGGUGUAGCGGUGGAAUGCGCAGAUAUCAGGAGGAACACCGGUGGCGAAGGCGGGCCUCUGGGCAGUAACUGACGCCGAGGAGCGAAAGCGUGGGUAGCGAACAGGAUUAGAUACCCCUGUAGUC